UGAGGAAUAUUGGUCAAUGGGCGAGAGCCUGAACCAGCCAAGUAGCGUGCAGGAUGACGGCCCUAUGGGUUGUAAACUGCUUUUAUGUGGGGAUAAAGUGCGUGACGUGUCAUGCAUUGCAGGUACCACAUGAAUAAGGACCGGCUAAUUCCGUGCCAGCAGCCGCGGUAAUACGGAAGGUCCGGGCGUUAUCCGGAUUUAUUGGGUUUAAAGGGAGCGUAGGCUGUCUAUUAAGCGUGUUGUGAAAUUUACCGGCUCAACCGGUGGCUUGCAGCGCGAACUGGUCGACUUGAGUAUGCAGGAAGUAGGCGGAAUUCAUGGUGUAGCGGUGAAAUGCUUAGAUAUCAUGACGAAAUCCGAUUGCGCAGGCAGCUUACUGUAGCAUAACUGACGCUGAUGCUCGAAAGUGCGGGUAUCAAACAGG
rnacentral:rRNA from 1 species